UACGAAGGGGGGCUAGCGUUGCUCGGAAUUACUGGGCGUAAAGCGCACGUAGGCGGAUUGUUAAGUCGGGGGUGAAAUCCUGGAGCUCAACUCCAGAACUGCCUUCGAUACUGGCGAUCUCGAGUUCGGGAGAGGUGAGUGGAACUGCGAGUGUAGAGGUGAAAAUUCGUAGAUAUUUCGCAAGAACACCAGUGGCGAAGGCGGCUCACUGGCCCGAUACUGACGCUGAGGUGCGAAAGCGUGGGGAGCAAACAGG
rnacentral:rRNA from 1 species